rfam:Capsaspora owczarzaki ATCC 30864 unplaced genomic scaffold supercont2.5, whole genome shotgun sequence.
GCUCCAAUAGCUCAGCUGGUAGAGCGUGUCACUCGUAAUGAUAAGGUCGGUAGUUCGAUUCUGCUUUGGAGCA